rnacentral:rRNA from 1 species
UCCCGCUGACGAGCGGCGGACGGGUGAGUAAUGCAUAGGAAUCUGCCCGGUAGUGGGGGAUAACCUGGGGAAACCCAGGCUAAUACCGCAUACGUCCUACGGGAGAAAGGGGGCUUCGGCUCCCGCUAUCGGAUGAGCCUAUGUCGGAUUAGCUGGUUGGUGGGGUAACGGCCCACCAAGGCGACGAUCCGUAGCUGGUCUGAGAGGAUGAUCAGCCACAUCGGGACUGAGACACGGCCCGA